rnacentral:miRNA from 1 species
UGUAAACAUCCUUCACUCUCAGC